rnacentral:lncRNA from 1 species
AAGAUAUUUUCGUUACUUUUAUAUAUUAUUACAAUACAUAAAACAAAAUUAAAAGAAAAAGGAGGAGUGAAUAGCUUUGAUUUUAGGAUGAAUCGUGCUUCUUAGUUGAGAAAAAUAUGUUUGCUUUCAAUAACUCUUCCCAUAAAUUUGUCUUUUGCUUCCGAACAACACGAUCGCUUUGAUUGAAUCUGUGGUUAAUAACAUGGCUCCAAUGUUUUAACUAGAGAGAAUCAUAAAUCAUGUUUUCCAACCAAGGAAUAUAUGGUAGGUGUUAAUAGGUAUGCAACUUGCUGGGUUUCCUUCAAGUGAGUGUGGCAGCUUAGUAUGUUUUCUUCUCAGCACCCAUUCCAUUCCCUUACUACUCCAUAAAAGUACCAUCACCUCCAUUCCACAGCAAUGCUUAUCCGAUCCUUGAUUGAAUUCACUGCAAGUACAGAUGGUGAAGCUGCACUCGGUCUCUACAGAUCCUUAUCCAGUCUUCUUCUGAAUUUCUGCAAUUUUCCAGAAGGAAAAUGAUUAACCUAAAAGGUAAUUUGGCUUACCAAACCAACUUCCAAACUUCCUUUGGUAUACACGUCCUAUUAACCAGAAAAGUUUCCAAAGGUCUUUUGAUAUUUAGCAGUCAAAAUGAUGUAACUUCAUUUUAUGUUUAUUUAUAUAUUAACUAGUAGUUUGGUUUGAUGUCGAGCAUGGGCAGGGGCCCCUUUUUCUUUCUUAUCGAUUGAUUGAUGAAAUGAGAAAUGGUAGCUAACCAAUCUUCUACUUUUUAUCAUGCUCUUUUUUAUGUUUGCCCACUUGCAAUGUGACAAUACCCCCAUGAAAAAAGAAACUUUGGCUACAUAAAUAACCCACCCAAAUUUGAUCUAAUUAUUUUUCAAAAAUUUAAAAUAUAGAUUAUUUUAAAUCUCCAUACUCGUGAAUAAUCCAUUGGAUGAGAGGCAACAGGUGGCAAAAUUGCACUUCUUAUUAUCUCUUGAUUUGUUGUAUGUAAAACUUGUAGGGAAUGGAAUGGGGGGUCUUAAGGGUUCGGCUUAUUUCUUUUCUUAUCCCCAUCCCCAUCCCCCUCUUCAAUAAUUGAUAUAAAAGAAGGUUUCAAUAAUUCUCAAGAUUCAUUUUUUAGAUAUGAUAAAAUAAAUUUCAAAUUUUUAAAAGAUAAAUAUAUUAAUACAAGGUAAUUUAAACUUAAAUGUUUUAAAAGAUAAAAAAAAAUUAAUCUAAAACCAUCCAAACUAAAAAAAAAAAAAAAACCAAAACCAACUCUUUAUACUUGGACUCAUAUGCAUCAAUCUAUUCUUUCAAUAGUUGCUUUCAAGGGGGGUUCCAAAUUGGUGAAAAAUAAUAAUGGUUUGAUGAACAAUAGUUGCCCAAGUAUCAAGCAAUGGAUAUCAUUUUAUGGCAUCAAUAAUUUAACCCCCCAAAAAGUGGUGAUUGUUUUCGAGUUGUUUCUUUUCUUCUUUUGACAUUAUAUUUAAUUAAAAAAAAGUGAUGGAUGAAAGGGACAUUGGUUUGAGAUCUGAAUUACAAUUAAUGAGCAAAAAUAAUUCAUCAUUUCAAUUCCAAACUUAGAUUUAAAAAUUAAAAAUAUUCAAAUAAUUAUAUUUGAGUUCUCUCUAGAUUUAUUUCGAUUUAAUUAUUUUUGUUUGAGGGUUUAAGAUUUAAGAUUUCAACAUUCAAACUAAUAAACUGAUAAAUAAUAUUCUUUUUUACUUUAAUUUCUCUUUCUACCACCUUUCAUAUUUCUUUUAAAAGUUCGCAAAGGAUAUCUUUUAUUUCUUUUGUAAUUGUUACUUUAAUAGCACAACAAACAACAACAUGCUCUACACCUUAUGAAUCAACUUGACCUAAAAAAUAAUGAUUCUCCAGAAAUAAAAGUCUCAUAAUUCAAAUAUAGUUUCAUUUUUUAGCUUUCUAAUAUUUUCAAAUCUUUGGGUAAGUUCAAAGCUUCGUACGCUCUACAUCUAGAGGAUCUGCGAAUCUCUACUACUUAUGUUAAAACUUUCCAAGACCCACCUCAUGGCAUAUAGGUUAAAAGAGAUAAACUGAACAAAUACAAUCGCCCCCUAUUAGGAUGUACUAUUAAACCUAAAUUGGGGUUAUUCGCUAAGAACUACGGUAGAGCAGUUUAUAAAUGUCUACUUGACAAGUUUGAUUUUACCAAAGAUGAUGAGAAUAUGAACUCCUAAUCAUUUGUGCGCUAGAGAGAUCGUUUCUUAUUUUGUGCCGAAGUAAUUUAUAAAGCACAGGCUAACACAGGUUAAAGCAAAAUAUGUAAUUCUAACAUCUUAACUUUUGGAAUUCUUUUAUGUGUUGUUUGAAGAAUUUCAAAACAUAAACACAUUUUGAAAUACAUCUACAAGAGCCUAGUUGUUUUGUCCUUCUUAAUGAUCAAAGUUUCCUUAAAUCGAGUGCGAUUCGUCCUAGUGAUGAUGAAAGGCUCCUAUCCUGUAAGUAAUAAAUGCCAUGUUUUCUUAUUUAGAAUUUUGAUGAUGCAUAGUUGAGAUUAAGUGAUGAAUAAAUUGAGCUUCCUUUUUUCAUAGGAUCACAACAAGAUGUGUUGGUGUCUGGUUGUUGUUUUACAAAAUUGUUACUUGAAUGAUUGGAAUACUACAUUUAACAAGAGCAACAAUAAAUAAGGACAACAAGUACAUAAACAUCAAAACGUUUAUAAAAUUCAGUAAACAUAUCAACAUCUUGUCUAAAAAUUAAAUCCACUACAACGACAAUACUACAAUUCCUUUUGAUUUAUAUAUAAAUUAUUAUUUUAGUUUUAAAAAAAAACUUACUUACACACGAAAUAAAUCAGUAAUGAAGUGGGCAAACAACCGCAGUGCACUGUUGUUUUCAAUUACUGUAAAGCACUAGAGAGCCAUUGAAGCCGCUGCACUAUUAUUGUUUGGGUAGAGAAAGCAGAUGGAGGGACCAUAAUGUAAGAAAGAAAGAAUAUUAUGGUAGAGAAAAGAAAGAAGAAAAGAAAAACAUUAUCAUUCUUUUGUCAGGCGUUAUCUUUUUCAUGUUUUUUACAAUACAC